AAAGAAUUUCGUCAAUAGGACCUGUACUUUUCAUUUGGGAGCGAUUUGUUUCGGCCUGACUUUUCUGUUCAUUUUAAGCAGCAAAAGUGAGGUGCAUGUCUGUGUGCGUGUGUACUGAGCCAUUGGGUGCAGUUACUAUAGCAACCAGGCUCACACCUGCCUGCCUAACGAGCUCUGUCUCUCACUGUGCCAAGAUUCAUCUUAAACACUUCUCUUUCAACUGCUGCUGUGUCCACAGUGUUUGCUCUACAGCCAUCAUUUUACCCUCAAAACGAAGCCAUCGUUCUUCUCUUUCCAACAGCAUGUCUUUCAAAGCUCAGAGAUGUAAACCUUUAAAAGUGUGUGGAUCCAAGUGUAGGGAUUACACUUUAGUCAUUCAGUGAUUCAAAGAAUAUGAACUUUUAAUAUUCAUUCAGGUGUUUUCUGACUCUAAAUUUUCUGUUCUCAUUUCUUAGGUUUUCCAAAUUUUAAUUUAAAAACUUUUCAGCUAUUUUCCAACUUCUUCUGUGUGAACAUCAGCUUUCAAAAGUUCUGCACUUUUGUUUUCAGGUUAAAAACUCUGCAUUUUCCAGCUCAUUCAACAUUUUUAUUUUUAACUCAAAAUUCAGCAAUUAAUUCAUUUCAGUGCAUACAUUCAGAUUCAAGCAUUCACACUGCAGUUUCUUCAGAAAAUGCACUUUCUAGUUAUUAUUAGUGUGAAUGCUUGUAAAAGCAUUCACAGUAUUGUUGUUGUAAUCUUUAUUAUUCUAUUUUAUUAUAGAUUCCGUACGUUUUUUGUACUCUAUCUCCUUCAAAACCGUUCAACUUAGAAAAACCAUUCAAACACCAUUAGAUUCCUCUUCUUUAGGACAUGACUGCUUCUACUUUUCUCAUUUAUAACAUUUAUAUUUUUAAUUUUAUUCAACUUUUUUCAACAAAAAUUUCCCAUGUAUUUCAAUGGGGAGAACCUUCAAAUUCUCAUUCAACUUACUCCUCUUCAAACUGUAUCUACCUCCACAUACGUUAACAUAGAACCACCAUUCAAACUUUAAAACGAAGACAAGACUUUCAAUUAUUCAACUUGUAUUUAUCUUUUCAAUAUCUGUUAUACUUUUUCUUCAGUUCCAGUUUAAGUUUCAUGAUGUUUUUUAAGCCAUUUCAGAGUUUAUAAUGGGUGUGUAUGGGACGGAAUGUUGGGGCUAGAGUGAGACAGCUCAACUGCUAGAGUGAGAGGAGCGAAAAAAUUAAUCUUAAAAUAUUUUUUAAAACUGCUGCUGUGUCCACAGUGUUUGCUCUACAGGUAUGAUUUUACCCUCAAAACGUAGCCAUCGCUGUCCUCUUUCAUCCAAUGUGUUUACUAUUGUACUAGGUGUUAUGGUUCUUUCAUAAAUGUCACCAAUGCACAGCCUCCUCCCUCCAACUCCUCCAUAGACUCUAAUGUUAAAAUGGCUCAGAAGGUUCGUUUGAAAACCAGAAGUACAGGCUGUCUUUACACUGUCACCACGUCCAUAUAAUAAACUCCACAGGCAUGAAAACUGAGAAUUAGGUAGACUGGACAUUGCUGUCGCUCACGGUGAAAGAAUUUUGUCAAUAGGACCUGUACUUUUCAUUUGGGAGCGAUUUGUUUCGACCUGACUUUUCUGUUCAUUUUAAGCAGCAAAAGUGAGGUGCAUGUCUGUG
ensembl:lncRNA